rnacentral:rRNA from 1 species
AGCGAACGCUGGCGGCAGGCUUAACACAUGCAAGUCGAACGCACCGCAAGGUGAGUGGCAGACGGGUGAGUAACGCGUGGGAACGUACCCUUCGGUUCGGAAUAACCCGGGGAAACUCGGGCUAAUACCGGAUACGUCCGUAAGGAGAAAGAUUUAUCGCAGAAGGAUCGGCCCGCGUCGGAUUAGCUAGUUGGUGAGGUAACGGCUCACCAAGGCGAUGAUCCGUAGCUGGUCUGAGAGGACGAUCAGCCACACUGGGACUGAGACACGGCCCAGACUCCUACGGGAGGCAGCAGUGGGGAAUAUUGGACAAUGGGCGCAAGCCUGAUCCAGCCAUGCCGCGUGAGUGAUGAAGGCCCCUAGGGUUGUAAAGCUCUUUUACCAGGGAAGAUAAUGACGGUACCUGGAGAAUAAGCCCCGGCUAACUUNGUGCCAGCAGCCGCGGUAAUACNAAGGGGGCCUAGCGUUGCUCGGAAUCACUGGGCCGUAAAAGCGUACGUAGGUGGGUUUCUAAGUCAGGGGCUGAAAUCCUGGAGCUCAACUCCAGAACUGCCUUUGAUACUGGGAAUCUUCGAGUCCGGAGAGGUGGUGGAACUGCGAGUGUAGAGGUGAAACUUCGUAGAUAUUCGCAAGAACACCAGUGGCGAAGGCGGCU